rnacentral:rRNA from 1 species
AGCAGCCGCGGUAAUUCCAGCUCCAAUAGCGUAUAUUAAAGUUGUUGCAGUUAAAAAGCUCGUAGUUGAAUUUCGGGAUCAAUAUAUUGGUCAUGCUUAGGUAUGUACUGGUAUUAUUGAUUUCUCCCUUCUGAAGAACCAUAAUGUCAUUAAUUUGAUGUCAUGGGGAAUCAGGACUGUUACUUUGAAAAAUUAGAGUGUUUAAAGCAGGCUUUCGCUUGAAUACAUUAGCAUGGAAUAAUGAAAUAGGACGUUUGAUUCUAUUUUGUUGGUUUCUAGGAUCGACGUAAUGAUUAAUAGGGAUAGUUGGGGGCAUUAGUAUUCAAUUGUCAGAGGUGAAAUUCUUGGAUUUAUUGAAGAUUAACUACUGCGAAAGCAUUUGCCAAGGAUGUUUUCAUUAAUCAAGAACGAAAGUUAGGGGAUCGAAGACGAUCAGAUACCGUCGUAGUCUUAACCAUAAACUAUGCCGACUAGGGAUCGGAUGAUGUAAUUUUUAAUGACUCAUUC